UUGGCUGUUCUGUUUCUUCUAGUUUUCUGGUCUAGACUUGAACUCCUCAGACUCCCAGAGCGAAGGAAGCUCUACAAGCAAAGGCCGAUACAUUCCUCCUCACUUACGGAACAGGGAAGCUUCAAAACAGGGUUUUGACAGUGGUGGCUGGAGCUCUAGCAGAGACAAGGAUGCAUACAGCAGCUUUGGUGCGCGAUCUGACCGUGGAGCAAAAUCCAGCUUCUUUGACCGUGGAAAUGGGUCGAGAGGAGGAAGGCAAGUACUUUCUUUGGACAGUGUGUGCUAAUUCUUCAGCGCUUGAGGUUUUUUUUUUUUUUUUUAAAAAAAGACCCUCCUAAAUGGGAAGAAUAAGAUAAAGUAGGGAGGAGGAUCUGGGGAGGGAAAACUGGAGUGAGAACCUUGCUUUAAAACUACAGGCUUUCCAGGAUGGGAAACUUUCUUGGGAAACUUUUCAACACUUAAAAUACAUCGGAACUGAUUUUUUUUUUUUGAGUUUUUUCCCCCCCAUGUUGAAAAAGUGUAGUUAAUAAAACUGGGUGAGACUCUUGCAGGUUCUCUGCCUUACUUGAUCAAUCUUACACACAUCAUGCAUAUGCACAAGUGUGGUGAAUGACCUUUAUCGACUAGUAAAGCUGACGCUAGUCCUGUGUCCAGCCUUUUCUCAAACAUGGUUUACCAGGCCAAAAACUAAACAGUUGAGGUAAGGAAUUUUUUUCCACCUUCUUUGCAAGUCAGUAAUACAGGUGAGCUCAGUCUGUAAAAGUGGUUGUUUUUGUUGGUGGUUUUUUAAGUGUGAUGCAUAAUUGAGGUUAUAUAAUUUAGUUGGGUUGUAGGUGGUGGGGGGACAAUAGGAACAUGUCACAACGCUUGGGUCUCGAGAUAUUGUACCUAAUAUGGAACUCUGGGGAAGUGCAAGUGUCCUCAUAAGAGUUUUAGUAGCCUUGCAAAACCAGGAAAGAAUGCAGCCCUCCUGGCAGAGCGCAUAUUCUUCUACCUUAAGAUAUACUUACUCAAACUUU